rfam:Canis lupus familiaris chromosome 9, whole genome shotgun sequence.
GCCUGGCUGGCUGUCAGUAGAGCGUGUGACUCUUGAUCUCAGGGUCAUGGGUUCAAGCCCCAUGUUGGGCG